UUACGUCAGAACGGCUAUAAAUAGACGUGCAGCGGCGCUCGUUGGUCCUUUCGCCGGAAGUUGCUGGAUUCAGCAAAAUUCGGCCUUGAUCUCAUGGAAUGGAAAGCGCUGCAAGCAACUCUUGCUGCUAGGCUAAAGCACUGUUGAAAAGGCUGGUGUGGAAAUGUACUCUAUAUACGAGGGUUGGAACUUUAAUAGUGGCAAUACUGCUGUAAAGACGCCACACAAAACCAAAGAAUGUCGCAUAUACCAUACGUUAGUUACAUACCUUCCUACGUCACGCGCAUGCGGAGUGACGUGAACAACUGAGCCUUGUAUUAGCUUGCGGUCUAAAGUAAGUGUUGUCACAAUGUUUUCAAAACAAGAACACAGAUAAAAAUUGAAUGUGCCAGAGGUCGUACAGCACGACAGUAUCAUCAAGGUCUUCAAGAGGCUUGCGGGCAAUCUACAUUGCCUUACAGAACAGUGGCAAGGUGGGUAAAAGCCUUCAGCAAAGGAUGCCAAAUGGGGCAGACAUCAUCGACCAGGUUGUCCUAGUGGCAGUGAAGCGGAUGCUGUUGCUGAACUCGUAGUAUCAACAGAACAGGCGCUGCAACUGGUGUCCUACGACUUCCACAACAUUGGAAAUGGGUUGUACAUAAUGCUGGCGACUAUAUUGAAGGGCUGUAAAAUUUGGUGGCAUGUUUGACUUUUGUAUUAUAUGUAAAUAAAUAUCUGCCAUUGUUAAAGUUUCAACUCUCUUAAUAAAGGUUUGAUAAUCCUCCUUGGUGUGGACUUUUUUUAGUAGGCUUUUGAGCACUGCCUUUGAACUGGUGUAUGGUCUGCUUCCAUGGCCUCACUGGUUACGCUGCAGUGCAAAAAUAAAGGACUUGCUUAUAACUGGUGUUGCUCAGCUGAAACCUGAGUGAUAUUUUUAAGAGCAAGUUACAUUUAAUCCUUCGUCUAAUGCCACAGUCUGAAAAUAUCAACAGAAAAUUGUGGUAAAUCCUGAUCAAGGUUAUCUUGGGUUAUGGGAACAACUGAAGAAGGUGAAAAGUUCAAUUGGAUCUGAAGUUUGGUGUAAAAAAAAUCUGGUUCAGAGGAA